rnacentral:rRNA from 1 species
AACGAACGCUGGCGGCGUGCCUAACACAUGCAAGUCGAGCGAGAAAGUCCGCAAGGAUGAGUAAAGCGGCAAACGGGUGAGCAACACGUGAGUAAUCUCCCUUCGAGUUUGGAAUAACCAGCCGAAAGGCUGGCUAAUACCGAAUAACAUCCCCCGGUUCUUCCGGGUGAUCAAAGUAUGCCUCUAUUUAUACGCAUACGCUGGAAGAUGAGCUCGCGUACCAUUAGCUAGUCGGCGGGGUAAUGGCCCACCAAGGCUACGAUGGUUAGCUGGUCUGAGAGGAUGGCCAGCCACACCGGAAUUGAGAAACGGUCCGGACUCCUACGGGAGGCAGCAGUGAGGAAUAUUGCGCAAUGGGCGAAAGCCUGACGCAGCGACGCCGCGUGGAGGAUGAAGGCUUUCGGGUUGUAAACUCCUUUCGGGCGGAACGAAUCCCCGACGGAUGAAUAAGCCGUCGGGUUGACGGUACCGCAGGAAGAAGCCCCGGCUAACUCUGUGCCAGCAGCCGCGGUAA